GGGGAAUCUUGGACAAUGGGGGCAACCCUGAUCCAGCGAUGCCGCGUGAGCGAAGAAGGCCUUAGGGUUGUAAAGCUCUUUCGCCCGCGACGAUGAUGACGGUAGCGGGAGAAGAAGCCCCGGCUAACUCCGUGCCAGCAGCCGCGGUAAUACGGAGGGGGCUAGCGUUGUCCGGAAUUACUGGGCGUAAAGCGCGCGUAGGCGGUCCACCAAGUCGGGGGUGAAAGCCCGGGGCUCAACCCCGGAAUGUCCUCCGAGACUGUUGGACUGGAGUUCGGGAGAGGAGAGCGGAAUUCCCAGUGUAGAGGUGAAAUUCGUAGAUAUCAAGAGGAACACCUGAGGCGAAGGCGGGUUGCUGGGCCGACACUGACGCUGAUGCGCGAAAGCCAGGGGAGCAAACG
rnacentral:rRNA from 1 species